AUUGCUGUCUUACCAGGCAAAGUUAGAUCUAGCUAUUUUGUCUAAUACUGUCUGGUAAUGCCGUCAAU
rnacentral:pre_miRNA from 1 species